rnacentral:rRNA from 1 species
UACGAAGGGGGCUAGCGUUGCUCGGAAUGACUGGGCGUAAAGGGCGCGUAGGCGGUUUGUACAGUCAGGUGUGAAAUUCCCGGGCUCAACCUGGGGGCUGCACUUGAUACGUAGGAACUGGAGUGGGGAAGAGGGUCGUGGAAUUCCCAGUGUAGAGGUGAAAUUCGUAGAUAUUGGGAAGAACACCGGUGGCGAAGGCGGCGACCUGGUCCUUGACUGACGCUGAGGCGCGAAAGCGUGGGGAGCGAACGGG